rnacentral:rRNA from 1 species
GCUUUCUUUAGCUUGCUAUUGAAAGUGGAGGAGCGGCGAAAGGGAGAGUAACGCGUGGAUCAUCUACCCCCAGGUUCGGGAUAGCUGCGGGAAACUGCAGGUAAUACCGAAUAAUGUCUCCGGACCAAAGGUGAGAUUCCUCCUGGGGAUGAGUCCGCGUCCUAUUAGCUUGUUGGUAAGGUAACGGCUUACCAAGGCAUUGAUGGGUACCGGGUGUGAGAGCAUGGCCCGGCUCACUGGGACUGAGACACUGCCCAGACACCUACGGGUGGCUGCAGUCGAGAAUCUUCGGCAAUGGACGCAAGUCUGACCGAGCGACGCCGCGUGCGGGAUGAAGGCCCUCGGGUUGUAAACCGCUGUCAGAGGGGAUGAAAGGCGCAGGGGGUCCUCCCCCUGGUUUGACAUAUCCUCAGAGGAAGUACGGGCUAAGUUCGUGCCAGCAGCCGCGGUAAGACGAACCGUACAAACGUUAUUCGGAAUCACUGGGUUUAAAGGGUGCGUAGGCGGCUUGGCAAGUUGGGUGUGAAAUCCCUCGGCUCAACCGAGGAACUGCGCUCAAAACUGCCAGGCUAGAGGGAGAUAGAGGUGAGCGGAACUUA